AAUAACGUUCGGGUAAUUGCUGCAUCACAUAUGAGGAUGUAGAGGAAAGUCCAUGCUCGCACAGACUGCGAUGUCUGUAGUGUUCGUGCCUAGCGAAGUCAUAAGCUAGGGUAGCUGUUAAAAGCUAACGGCGGGGAAAAAGCCUAAGUCUUUUUAAGAUAUGGCUUGACUACUCUGAAAGUGCCACAGUGACGAAGUCUUAUCAGAAAUGAUAAGAGUGGAACGAGGUAAACCCCUCGAGCGAGAAACCCAAAUAAUGGUAGGGGAACUUUCUGGAAGGAACUGAACGGAAGGAAGGACAAAAUGGUUACAUUUUGUAGAUAGAUAAUUGCCACCGGAGUACGAGGUAGCUAGCCGCUUGCAGUACAAUGGUACAAAACAUGGCUUACAGAACGUUAUUGAAA
rnacentral:RNase_P_RNA from 1 species